rnacentral:rRNA from 1 species
UCCUACGGGUGGCUGCAGUGGGGAAUAUUGCACAAUGGGCGCAAGCCUGAUGCAGCCAUGCCGCGUGUAUGAAGAAGGCCUUCGGGUUGUAAAGUACUUUCAGCGGGGAGGAAGGUGUUGUGGUUAAUAACCACAGCAAUUGACGUUACCCGCAGAAGAAGCACCGGCUAACUCCGUGCCAGCAGCCGCGGUAAUACGGAGGGUGCAAGCGUUAAUCGGAAUUACUGGGCGUAAAGCGCACGCAGGCGGUCUGUCAAGUCGGAUGUGAAAGCCCCGGGCUCAACCUGGGAACUGCAUUCGAAACUGGCAGGCUAGAGUCUUGUAGAGGGGGGUAGAAUUCCAGGUGUAGCGGUGAAAUGCGUAGAGAUCUGGAGGAAUACCGGUGGCGAAGGCGGCCCCCUGGACAAAGACUGACGCUCAGGUGCGAAAGCGUGGGGAGCAAACAGGAUUAGAUACCCUAGUAGUC